rnacentral:rRNA from 1 species
UACGUAGGUGGCAAGCGUUAUCCGGAUUUACUGGGUGUAAAGGGCGUGUAGGCGGGAAAGCAAGUCAGAUGUGAAAACCAUGGGCUCAACCUGUGGCCUGCAUUUGAAACUGUUUUUCUUGAGUACUGGAGAGGCAGACGGAAUUCCUAGUGUAGCGGUGAAAUGCGUAGAUAUUAGGAAGAACACCAGUGGCGAAGGCGACUUACUGGACUGUAACUGACGCUGAGGCAUGAGAGCAUGGGGAGCGAAAGGG